rnacentral:ncRNA from 1 species
GAGCAGUGCCUUAUGAGCUUUAUAAGGGUUUGACAUUUACCACAAUCUGGCUAGAGGUUAAUCCUCGAAAGAAAAUGUUAGAA